AAAAAAAAAAACCUUUAGUUCUUCGUCCUCCCUCGAGACAAUAACGGCAGCGAUGGCAAAUUUCAUACCACCGUCUAUGAAGGAACAAGCCGAUGAGAAAGUUGAUAACAUUAUGAGAAGGUUGAUAACGCGGAACCUCACUUGUCCUGUUGGAUAUGAAUAUAUCGAUAUAGAAGCUUACAAUAUUUUAAACCGUGAUUUCAGUAGUUUACAUUUGAACUACUCCCCAGCCUUUUUUGAUGGAAAGUUUAAUAUCAGGCCCGUUUAUUCUUGUGUCAAACAGUUCAACGAUGGCGCCAGGAACAUAUUAUGGACUUAGUGCCUACUACUUGAACACAAAGCUGGCACUUACUGGAGGUGUUACUACUGAUGGUAGACUAACUGCGACAGUGAAAUACUAACUGCGCUAUAACUGAUAAGUUGACUGUGAGGGCAUAUACAAAUGCUCUAAACUACAGAGCUCGAUUUAAACUCGGGAGCAAUGACCUAACUGCAGCUACAUAUAUCCAGCGUGUGACACCCUGUCUAUCUUUGGGUGGUGAGGUCUUUUGCACCAAUGUGCCUCAAGAGUCGGGUGUAGGUUAUGCUGCAAGAUACGAGACUGAUAAGAUGGUAAUGUUUCUUCUAAGUCACUUUAUUGGACAGCUUACAAACCCGAUACGUAGAAAGUGCCAUAUUUUAUACAGUAGGAUUUUUUGCCAUUUAUACAACGUUAUUCUUUGUAUAUAAAAGAAAUAUAUACAUGUCGUAGAAUUUUGUAAUACGUUAUACAA